GGAAGAAACUAUUGGGAAAAUGUGAAAAAAAUGGACAUCGGUGGUGGUUUUUCUACGAAAACCAGAAGAUUGUUACGAGUACUUAAACCUCACUGUGAAAUAAUUCUUUUUGCAAGUUAGUCCCUCCAUGACCCUGUGUUUUACUGUGUUAUUAAAUCUUAUCUUGUAGUUGAUAAUUGCAGUCUUUCUUUUCCAUGCUUUUGUGUUAAACUUAGGGUUAGGCUCCUUUAUUUGCUCUGUUGUUUUCAACUGUUUGAGAUACUUUCGUUCCCUGAUAUUUAUGAAGGACAUGUUUAUCACUACAUGUAGUGCUUCGGUUUACAUGAAUGAUUGCGUGUGUGGUCUACAAGUGUCGUCACUGAGAAGGUGGGCCUGGUUACAUUCACUGUGGUUAUGGUUCAUGGGCAGUGGGGUGUUGUGGAGGCCACGGCAUUGGUGCUAAGGCUAACAGUGCAUCCUCUGUUGAGGGCCUUAAGCCCCUGAGGGUCCUAAUGACUCAGGGAAUCGAUCACAGUCCAGGGGUCCAUCACCUCCCUGGCCCUCUCCACUCCUUUUAUGUGUGGCCUCCACCGAGCCAGGCCUGCCCUUGUCCCCACCGCUGAGCAGAGACCCAGGGAUCUAAAUGAACUGAUCUUUGUUUAUGUUCAGAUGAAUCAAUGUCCAGACCACUUAAAGUACAGCUGCUUUCCUGGCAGUCUUAUCUGUGGGGCCAAAACUUAAUAAACCACAGGAAAUAGACUGUCAUUCUGAGUUUGCUGCCAGAGCUUGUUUCCGACUCUGAGCUUGCUGGCACCGGGAAGAGGUGCAGUUGUUGGCUUUUCCUGGCAACCCCUGGGCUGUCCUGCACCUUUUCUGCUCCCAGCUUUUUUCAUUCAUCGAGCAGUUGCAUCUCUUAGCUGCUGCUUUGGCACAGCCUCUAGUGCUGAUUCCCAUGGAAAGUAUGCAAAGGACCUCUAGUUUUCUCACGACCCACCCUGAUAACAGCAGAACAUCACUGAACAUGCUUAAUGCCUGGAUCUAUGUACAAACAGUUUCACUGGAAGGUCUUUCAGUGGGAAAUGAAUAAAUGCUAUCCAUUGUUAUGUUCAGUUACGUCAAUAAACCCACUUACUGAUAGAGA